AGCUUGAGCGUAAUGUUUUGAUUUAAGAUUCUUAUUACAUGUUCUUUAAUAUUAUAAUUAAGGCAUGAUAUAGGAGGGUGUUAACUAUUCCAUAGUCCGUGCUUGUGAGUUAUGAUGACAGCAUGCGAUCGAUUACCUGCAGUUCUGUAUACGGUGACCAGCUGCAGUAACAAAUUACAAAUACAGUAUUCUUUAAGAAAAGGUGGUAGUGAGUGAUCUAUAACAGUUGAAGCACAGGAUAUCUCAAAAAAUUAUCACCGCAGAGAUCAGGAGUACAGUUUUUUGGUUAUCCACAUGGACUUUUUUUUUAUAAAAAAAAAAUCUGAGUUACCUUCAAACACUUGUUGCUGAAGAUUUGAAUGCCCCUUUAUUAUGACAAACUGCUUGGGAAUCUGAUUGUGUUCAAGGACUACGGAAUAGCCACAAUGUCUAGGUUUUUUCUAACACUUCCUAUGGAUAUCAUUGCACAGACUGAUUUGGAUCCUUUAUGAAUUUGUGAAAGCAUGUCGGACUCAAUGCUCUUGAUCAUAUUUGCCUAUGAGCUGAUUUCCACGCACUAAUCAUAUUUGUCUAUAAGCUGAUUUCCCCCCGCACAAAAUAGCCUAAUUGGUCCCCUUUCUAUUAAUAAGUACAACCCUGUGAUCAGUUUCGUUGCUUGGUGGUUCAAUACUUCAAUCCCAUUUUAAUUUUAUUUUGCUCUUCUUGUUUCCAGAUGGCAACACUGGGAUUGCAGUUCGCCCUGAAGGAGGACCUCAAAGCCACAGAGAUUGAGGUGGGGGUUGUCAGGAAGGAUGAUCCAAUUUUCAGACUACUGACAGAGGCUGAAAUGAACGAGCACCUGAAAGCUAUCAACCCUGGCAAGCAGAGCUGAAGGCUGAACAGAACCAUCUGUCUGCCACUAGUCCUGCUGAAUCUUUUACAGCUCGUGAAAUCUUAACUGGUUACCGAUCACUGUACAGCAGCGCUGUGUAAUAAGAAUGCUAAAGCGCGAAAUUUUCCCUGGCUUAUUCCGGCUUGAACCGAUGUUGGUAGCACUGAAUUUUUCUACGAA